CAACAAACUGGUCGAUAAGGCGGGCCCGGCCCUAACAAACAAACUAACAAAACACAACAACUAAAGAGCCACUAAGGAGGCCCCAGAGCGCCCCAGAGGCGAGGCCCAGAGCCCGAGAGCCCGUGAGUCCGAGAGUCGUCAUCUGGCAGCAGCGUCAGAGGCGAGAAACUUUAGCGGCUUCUAACGGGUAUACACAAAGCAACAACAACAACAACAACAACAAAACCGUUUGCAUUCCUGACCUACUCUGCAACUUUACAUUGACUUCAAACGGCCUGUAGUCCCGGGCCUCCACCGCCUCCCUCUCUCUGCCUCUCUGCUGCAUGCCACUCCGACCAAAGCGCGCAGACGAUGUUCAGCAUUCAGCAUAGAAAUGGGUGGAGACUCCAAAACGAGUUGGGGGUUAAAGGAUAUGGCCAACAAGCAACAGCAACAGCAACAACCUGGUUGGCCAUAAAAAAGUUGUAUUUUUUACCUCCAAAAGUAGUUAAACUUCAAAAGCCGACAAACGUGGAAGAAGAGAAGAAGCAGCAGGGGCAGGGGAAGAGGCAAAAGCAGACGAAGAAGAGGUGGAAAAAAUGCAUGGCAUGAAAACGAGUUUUCACUACUUUUGCCUAUUAUACAGCACCAACAAAAGCAACAAAAACAACAACAAAGCCCCCAAUUGAGAGAUGGAGACGACCGUAGACGUCGUAGAUGCCACAUCAAGGCAUGCAACGCCACCACCCAAUACCAAAGCAAUACAGAAACAAACGAAACAAAGCACAAGGCACAUUGCAAGCCGAUGACGUGCGCACAGUGGUUGUCGGAGGAUUUGCAUGUGAAAUGUUCAGCGAGCAAUUACAUAACAGUCGAUGAAUGCGGGCCUGAUGCGAGUAGGGGACAUCUUUUGAUCACAGAUAAAUGGAAAUGAAAGAGAGUCUCUGAAAAUAUGAAUAAUUUGAAUAGUAAAUGUAUUUUUUGGUGGGAGAAAAACCUCUUUAAAUGGUUC